AAAAAAAAAAAAAAUUACAUUUUUAAAUGCUCAUGGUUUACGUGAAUAGAAUGAUACGUGCGCAGAAUCUGAUGUUUCAUAAAAAUCUUCGACGGACGACAAUCGAAAAACUGUUUUUCGAUCGUGUGUUUACAGACUACACGCUGUGAAAAAAUAAACAAACUUCCAGUCUCUACAAAAACGGACGUCAACAGUGCGUGUCGUCGUGAUAUUUCCAAACGACCGCAGGCCGAGAGGUCGUUGCCAAAAAUCGUCGAAAACCCAUCGUCUCUCCGUGAAAACAUUGCACGCUUUUUUGGACGCGAUACAAAAAGCCGAAAACGUUUCGUUGGCCAAUGGCGACGACCACGGCGGCGCGGCGGUUUCAGACGAUCACCUAUGUACCCGACCGUUCUGUACGUUUUCAGAAUCGGCCAUCAGUGGACACUGACAAUUUCAACUUACAUUUUUCUUUCGACAACUAGCGAUUUGUCGUUUAAAUAAAAGUCCAUCGCACUCUACCCCGGUGAUAUUGUUGUUCUUAUCCAAUAGUUGAUUUGUCGAUGUUUGCACUUAGUUUCCGCCUGCACUCGCAAUCCGCGU